GGGAAGGAGGCAGUCCUUCUCCGGGAACUUCCCCGCCGUCAGCGACGCCAGCACGCAACCAAAAUUUAUGCCCAAUAUUUCCAUUUCCAUCGCUCUCUCUUUCUCUUCUCCGUUCGCUUUUGCCUCUCCGGCGAGACCGAGGAAGGAAGGAGGGUUGGUUAUGGCGUUGCAGCGGGGUUUUUGGGAAUAAAGUUGCUUGUAUAUUUUAUUUUAUAAAAACUGUGUGAUUUUUUUUUCAGUGCAUCAGGGACCGUCCAGAGGAUUGAUUUUAG
rnacentral:lncRNA from 1 species